rnacentral:rRNA from 1 species
CAGUAGCCACGGUAAUACGUAGGGUGCAAGCGUUAAUCGGAAUUACUGGGCGUAAAGCGUGCGCAGGCGGUUUGUUAAGACAGAUGUGAAAUCCCCGGGCUCAACCUGGGAACUGCAUUUGUGACUGGCAGGCUAGAGUAUGGCAGAGGGGGGUGGAAUUCCGCGUGUAGCAGUGAAAUGCGUAGAUAUGCGGAGGAACACCGAUGGCGAAGGCAAUCCCCUGGGCCUGUACUGACGCUCAUGCACGAAAGCGUGGGGAGCAAACAGGAUUAGAUACCCCGGUAGUCCCUGUCUCUUAUAC